rnacentral:tRNA from 1 species
GGGGUUGUAGCUCAGUGGUAGAGCGCUCACCUAGCAUGUGUGAGGCCCUGGAUUCGAUCCUCAGCAUCACAU